rnacentral:lncRNA from 1 species
CUCGUUGACAGGUUCUGAGAUGAAGCUUUCUGUUCUUCUUUCUGUUCUCAGUCGGAGUCGACUCGUACUAAUCUGGAGUCGACUCGAGCUCAUGCCAGUGAACUUGAUACGCUUGGAGUCGACUCGUGAUACUCGGGAGUCGACUCGAGUCUCAGACAUUGGUUCAUGCAGACUUCUUAACUUAUCCAAAAUACUAUGAACCAAGUCUAGAAACACUUGGACAGGAUUUUCACUGAAACACUCAAUUGAAUUCAUUAGUAAUCACAAGAUAUACUCAAUUGCUUUGAGCUCAUCAAAAUCAAAUGGGGUUUUAAUCAAUCACUCCACACCCGCGCUCCAGUCGGUCCCCCUCUCGCCGCCCCUUGUCUCCCACCCACCGGUCGCGCUCCCUGGACCGGCGGGUGGACGAUCUCCACCGACAACUCCAGGUCCUGAAGGGCCAUUCCAAAGAUCCCUUCGCCGACUUAGAGAUCUCCUCCCAGCCGGCGCUUGCCUCGAGGAUCCUGCGGACCCCGAAUCCGCCGGGGUUCAAAAUGCCGGCGAUCGAGCCCUAUGACGGGGCGGCGGACCCGCGGGAUCACGUCGAGAGUUUCAG